UUUAAUAAGAGGAUGGUGAAAGAACAAAGCAAUUGAGCUUGUAACUACAUUCACCAUCUUUAGUUUCCAGCCAAGUCUAGUUAUCUCUGCAAUUUUGGAUUCUAGUGGCACUCGAAAGCAAAAAGAAGAAAGAAGGAAAGAAAGAAAAAUCAUAUCGAUACUCAGAUUAAGCAAACACGAAAAUUAAAUCAGGCAGAUGAAAGUAAAGUUUUUUUUCUUUGAAGCCACUGUAUAAGCGAUACAGUUUUCUUUAUUUGAGUACAUUGCAUGUAAAGUUAAUUUGUAACUUAAACUUUACCUGAAAAACUGCAAACUGCUUAAAAAUGAAACUCAAAUCAGCAAGCUACAUACUAGAAUUCGGUGCAAUUGAUCAUUGAGGUGCUAGACUGCAACACAGACAAAACCCAAAUCAGCUCAAAUCAAGGAAACAGAAAACCCGGUCAAAAAUAACAAUGUGCAUCACAUUCUUCAUCAGAUAAAACAUGCUGUUAUGUUUGAAAAGAUAGUGACUGCCGAAGAUCAAAGCAAUAGAGCUAGUACUUACAUUCACCAUCUUUAGUUUCUGCCACGUCUAGUUAUCUCUCCAAUUUAGUAUUCGGGUGGCACUCGAUAGCAAAAAGAAGAAAGAAAGAAAGAAACGAAAAUCAGAUUGAAACUCAGAAAGAAAGAAAUACAGUUUUCUUUAUUUGAGUAUAUAACAUGGAAACUGUAACUUUACCUGAUAAACUGCUAAAAAAUGAAAAUCAAAUCAGCAAGCUAUAUGCUGGAAUUCGGUGCAAUCAAUGCAAUCGAUCAUCGAGGUCCUAUACUGCAGAACAGACAAACACCGAAUCAGCUCAAAUCAGGUAACGGGAACGGUUAUCCUUCUUGAAAUGAUAAGCUCAAUCUCAAACAGUAUAAAAAUCACACAAAAACGGAAUGAAAAAAUUUUGAAAAUUCAAAAGCACUCAACUUAUCUAUUUGAUCUGAACAGAGGAUUGGGAACUUCCCAAAUCUAUAGUCCCACGAAUCCAUCUUGGGGAAAACUUAUAUUGCACUCUUUGCAUUCAAACACCAAAUUUCAUGCUAACGCAAAAAAAAAAUUCAAAUGAAAACAUGAUAAAAAUUCAAAUGCAAACGCAAAAGCCAAUAAAGUCAAGCAUAACAACAUCAAGAAUAUACCUGAGAAACUAACAAAUUGGAUCCCGCCCAAAAUCAACCAAACUCAACCAGGCACAUGUUAACAAAUCUCCAUAGAUAUUCACUCAAAGAUAUCUCAUCUGCUCUGCACCGAAAAUAGAAAAAACAAAAAAAA
rnacentral:lncRNA from 1 species